rnacentral:lncRNA from 1 species
UUUCUAUAAAGGAGUUCGAUUAUCACAAAUCAAAGAUGGGUAUAAGAUACUGUACAAAUUGGCUUUAGUCCAAGUGGGAGUUGUUGGAAAUUGUGUCCCAAAGCCAAUUUUUAAUUGUAAGAAAUUGGAUUAUGUAUAUAUUUUAUUAAAAUGAAUAAAAAUUUAUUCUGGCAAUUUUCUAUUCAUCACAAGUGUUACAUCUUCAAAUAGAACUCCUGUGUAUUAUGAUAAAGUCCUUAGGACUAAUUUAGUGGAUAAAAGAGGUUUUAUCAUUUAGUCCUUAAACCAGUUCGCGACCAAAUGAUGAGCUGUCAAUUGGACAAUAGCUAUGUCAAGUAUAGGUCGUUGUGUGUCAUUUAGUUGGUUGUCCUCUUAAACCAAGAAGUGUGGAGACACUGUAUGGCAUACAGGUGAGAUGUAGGAGUACAUCAUCACUGAACAGUGACUCACCUGCGUAGCACUCCACUGUCGGAAGUUAGCUCGCAAAGCGUAUGGGCAUAAGUACCCCUUAGACCUGAGACUGUCACGGUGACUUGCAAGCAACUCACUGUAGUUAGGCACUGGAUGACCUGAAUUUCUAAUUCAGGGAUCAGAAGGAUGCUGGGUNUAGUCAAGUACUCGCAAAGUCUGUGUAUGAGUCAAGAUGGGAUUGACCGCUCCAGAUUAUAGGAUUU